CCUACUUGGGAGUGUUAUACCUUGCAAGUGAAAAAAUUGAGCAAGCGCAUGAAGCUUUCAAAAUGGCUCAGUCCCUUGAUCCAACUUAUUUAAUGUGCUGGGUUGGACAAGCUCUAAUUGCAGAGACAGUUGGAAGUUAUGACACCAUGGACCUCUUCAGGCACACUACAGAACUCAGUAUGCAU